UGGGGAAUAUUGCACAAUGGGCGCAAGCCUGAUGCAGCCAUGCCGCGUGUAUGAAGAAGGCCUUCGGGUUGUAAAGUACUUUCAGUCGGGAGGAAGGUGGUAAGGUUAAUAACCUUGGCAAUUGACGUUACCGACAGAAGAAGCACCGGCUAACUCCGUGCCAGCAGCCGCGGUAAUACGGAGGGUGCAAGCGUUAAUCGGAAUUACUGGGCGUAAAGCGCACGCAGGCGGUUGAUUGAGUCAGAUGUGAAAUCCCCGGGCUUAACCCGGGAAUUGCAUCUGAUACUGGUCAGCUAGAGUCUUGUAGAGGGGGGUAGAAUUCCAUGUGUAGCGGUGAAAUGCGUAGAGAUGUGGAGGAAUACCGGUAGCGAAGGCGGCCCCCUGGACAAAGACUAACGCUCAGGUGCGAAAGCGUGGGGAGCAAACAGG
rnacentral:rRNA from 1 species